rnacentral:rRNA from 1 species
GUAACACGUAGUCAACAUGCCCAGGGGACGUGGAUAACCUCGGGAAACUGAGGAUAAACCGCGAUAGGUCAUUACUUCUGGAAUGGGUAAUGACUCAAACCUAUAUGGCCCCUGGAUUGGACUGCGGCCGAUCAGGCUGUUGGUGAGGUAAUGGCCCACCAAACCUGUAACCGGUACGGGCUCUGAGAGGAGGAGCCCGGAGAUGGGCACUGAGACAAGGGCCCAGGCCCUAUGGGGCGCAGCAGGCGCGAAACCUCUGCAAUAGGCGAAAGCCUGACAGGGUUACUCUGAGUGAUUUCCGUUAAGGAGAUCUUUUGGCACCUCUAAAAAUGGUGCAGAAUAAGGGGUGGGCAAGUCUGGUGUCAGCCGCCGCGGUAAUACCAGCACCCCGAGUGGUCGGGACGUUUAUUGGGCCUAAAGCAUCCGUAGCCGGUUCUACAAGUCUUCCGUUAAAUCCAGCUGCUUAACAGAUGGGCCGCGGAAGAUACUAUAGAGCU